rnacentral:rRNA from 1 species
GUGUCAGCAGCCGCGGUAAUACGAAGGGGGCUAGCGUUGUUCGGAAUCACUGGGCGUAAAGCGCACGUAGGCGGACUUUUAAGUCAGGGGUGAAAUCCUGGAGCUCAACUCCAGAACUGCCUUUGAUACUGGGAGUCUCGAGUGUGGAAGAGGUUGGUGGAACUGCGAGUGUAGAGGUGAAAUUCGUAGAUAUUCGCAAGAACACCAGUGGCGAAGGCGGCCAACUGGUCCAUUACUGACGCUGAGGUGCGAAAGCGUGGGGAGCAAACAGGAUUAGAUACCCUCGUAGUCC